UUAACAAAGAGCUCUGGCUCUUUCUCACUUGGUAACACUUGCUCACCCUGUUUGCCCUAGUCUUCUCUCUCCACAGCAGCCGCAUGGGCCUAACAGCCUGGGGCCUGGGCUCCCAGCACAAGCCUGGGUACAGCCAUGCAGCGCCAGCUGAGCGCAAACUCAGACUAAGCUAGCCGGAUGAGGACAGGCAUGGACUGAGCCAAAGGUGCAAUACAUCUGGACUCUGGCCCUGCUUCUGGACCCGAUGAAGGCAGGCUGCACUUUUCUCACAACAGGAUGGAUGAAGAUGAGACACUGGGGCCUGUGGGCAGCCUUCUAUUUCCACCCCAACAAACGUUACAACUAGACCACAUCCUCCCAUCACUGAGUCUCCUGGAUUGCUUCCCCAUGUUCAUCGGCAGCAUCAAUAGCUGAGUGUCCUACAAUUUAACUCAAUCCUGACACUAUCUACCUGGAGAUAGCAUCAGAUCCCACAGAAGGUGCUGGAGACUCUGUGGACCAUCAGGCAGGCCAGUGGAGAUGGCUGUGCGCCUCAGACACUGCGGAAUGAACUCAUCAGAGCUGCUGUCACACUUUACCGGCUGGUGACUGCCCCCAGGAGACCCCAGCUGGCCCUGCUCCCCCACGGCUGCCCAUGGUGCUCAUGGUCCAUUCAACCUGCUCUCCACUUUUCAAGUCCUGCUGGUCACCAGUAAUGCGGAGAGAGAAGAGGCAUGGGGGACCUUUCUGGACAAAACUUCAUCUCCCCAAAUAGAUGGUGGUUUGGGAGGCAACGGACAUGCCCACAGCCUGGGCACAGGGCUCCUCUGUGGGCACCGCCCUGUGUCCUGAGCCUCAGCUCUAACUUGCAAGAGAUCAGCGUCCUUAACCAAUCAGGAACUAAUUAACUUCUAACUGCAACUGUGGAGGCUAAAAAGUAUUAAUACUUUCCCUUCCACCUUCUAAGUUCUGGGUGGGCUAAUCAUCCAAUUAACAGAGACAGAUGAACAGAAGGAAGGUAAAGUUUUCAUCCAUGCACAUGGGCAAUUCACAUAGGCAUGAAAAUUCCAGAGAUAGAGAGGCAACAUGGGUAUCUGUGACAUUUUUGGAGAAAGGGGGGAAGGGGCAUUAGAUUUCGGGAGUGAGCAUGGGAUUUACAUGUAGUCGAGAAGAGCAGAACACACGUGCAGGGAAAUUCUUGCCAGUGACUCAGAGACAAUGGGCACAGGGACCUGGCGAAUGGGAAGGAUUUGAGGUGACUGAGCCGAGGCUCCCUUCAACGCAGGGCUCUCCGUCUGCCUCUCCUGGCAGGACAGGGGGAGGGCCAGCAGUUCUUCCUAAAUCUUUUGUUUCUUAAUAAACAGCUCGAAAUCAAUAUCCCAAAGGCACCUUCACGGGGGCCAAAUUUUGGUUCCCUUCCCAAACAUGUUACAUGUGACUGGCAGGAGGCGUGGAGCGAUGCAGAAACACCAAAGGGCAAGGUAAAUAGACUGG